rfam:Trichoderma atroviride IMI 206040 TRIATcontig_27, whole genome shotgun sequence.
CAGCGCUCUUCUUCAGCACGUCGCCUCCCCCACAGUUUCCCGAUUCUCGUUUUCCGCACGGAAUGUCUAUUGCAGGCCCCCCUCCCCAGGCUUGGUCAUCCGCAAUAUGCCGCUUCCAAGCCUACUUCAGGAUCUUGUUGAACGCUGCAGUUGGAUCUAUUGCGGUGCGUCUCUGCCCGGCACCCAGGCAGCCAAGUCUAGCUGGGGGAACGAGUUUCGGAACUUAACCCUAAGCAUACAUCUGGUUUAGUAUUGCGCUCAGUCGUCUAAUCCCCUUUCUAAGUCAACCCCGUUUCUCGAUGCUGCUCCCGUCGAAAGAUGGGCACGGCAGUAACGCAGAAACCUGUGUUGAUGGACUAGGGGAGCGGACAUCCAGUCACUACCUGGUGCGCAAGAGGAAGGAUGCCAUGAGUCGUUGUGGUAAGAUUCUCUGGUCUGAGGACGCUCGUCAGCCCUCUCCGCUGGAACUAGCACUAUGGUCGAAAAUAGACUUCCUUGAGAUGCUGUUGGCAUUGAUAGGUAGAUUGAUUGUCUGCUGUCUGUUGAGAUCUGCGCCGGUGGCUUUAUCACCGCCGGUGCAAGGUCUACGGCAUGGAGCUUGAGCACAGAAAGGGCCUCAAACAGCCAGAAGUCGCAUUUCCGAAACCGUAUUUCAUCCCUAUGGCGCCUUGCCGGAAGCCUGGCUUAUAUCAGUGCUGUGAGAGCCACACGGGAACACACAGAAAUGCAACGACUUUUGACCAACCCAACGCCAUUCUACGCUGCUCUCGGAUGCUCUUAUAUGCCCGCCCUCUAUUGGGAUUUGAGUCAACAUGAAGCUCUCAGCAUUAUGAUCCCUUCCUAUCGGGCCCUUUGCUCCUUGGACCACACCACAGCAUCCUGCUCCCGGUGUGUGAUGCAGCUGCGUCUAGUCUGACCAAGCGUAUUAACCUUGGGUCGUUGGCUUUGUCCCUCGACUUCGCAAGGGCGCCAGUCCCCGGCUGGGCUAUUGCCCGGCAGCUUCCUCGCAGAUUUUGUCAAAAGCUGCCGAGAUGAUAACGCGGUUUUUAUGGAUGUAUUUUGUCCGCGUGUCAACGCCCUCCUGACUGUCAAAGUUUCGGAGAGGAAACAAAAACAAGUCUCCGUUGGCAGUGCGAGACACACGGAAGGAGGCUCGCUUGACUACAUCAAGAACAUUUAGGUUGCAUUACGCUACUUGGACCUUGGGCUACGUGAGCUCGAAGAAGGCAGCAGAUUCAUGAUGGGACUGGCUAGAGGCAAAGUCCGGAAAUCGGUCCCUUUUUCGGACACCGCGGAUGCGGCUCGGUGUCGAUUCUGGCAUGGAACUGGGACCCAUCUCGAGUUGGAGUCAAAGUUUAGUGCUUGUCCAGUUACUUGGCCAAACUCGUCUGCUUUGAGCUGGAUCCGCGGGCAGUCGUCAUCUGGCUCGGCUCACUGACAUGUGCUUCAGUACAACUACUAUUGGCUUAUAAGGACACACCGUGGAUGUGGGAGGCAGUCCUGGUUGUCCUCUUCCCAGAAAUGGCUGGAGGGCAACCCCCCGCUGAUGAGG